CCUACGGGAGGCAGCAGUGAGGAAUAUUGGUCAAUGGACGAGAGUCUGAACCAGCCAAGUAGCGUGAAGGAUGACUGCACUAUGGGUUGUAAACUUCUUUUAUAUGGGAAUAAAAUGUUCCACGUGUGGGAUUUUGUAUGUACCAUAUGAAUAAGGAUCGGCUAACUCCGUGCCAGCAGCCGCGGUAAUACGGAGGAUCCGAGCGUUAUCCGGAUUUAUUGGGUUUAAAGGGAGCGUAGGGGGAUUGUUAAGUCAGUUGUGAAAGUUUGGGGCUCAACCGUAAAAUUGCAGUUGAAACUGGUAGUCUUGAGUACAGUAGAGGUGUGCGGAAUGCGUGGUGUAGCGGUGAAAUGCUUAGAUAUCACGAAGAACUCCGAUUGCGAAGGUAGCUCACUGG
rnacentral:rRNA from 1 species